rnacentral:rRNA from 1 species
GCAGGCUGCAACCCGCCCUGCAUGAAGUUGGAGUUGCUAGUAAUCGCGGAUCAGCAUGCCGCGGUGAAUACGUUCCCUGGCCUUGUACACACCGCCCGUCACACCAUGGGAGCCGGUAAUACCCGAAGUCAGUAGCCUAACCGCGAGGGGGGCGCUGCCGAAGGUAGGAUUGGCGACUGGGGUGAAGUCGUAACAAGGUACC